ACUGCUAAUGACUGCUGCCAAGAUAUAUAAAUGGAAUGGUUCAGCUAAGAGAAGAAUAUGAGGUUGCCAUUUGGAGGCACUUUGGUACGAUGGGGAAAACACCCAACUGAGAAUCAGACUACAUAGAUGCCAUUCCAUCUGCCACUAAUUAGGUACACGGGCUUCAGCUUAUCACAAACUCAGAGUCCAAAGAAAGUGUGUCUGCCUUCCUUGUCCAUUCUGUGUAAAACACAGUUAUCAUUAGAGAAGAAAAAG